CGAAGGAUGCAAGCGUUAUCCGGAUUCAUUGGGUUUAAAGGGAGCGUAGGUGGACUGAUAAGUCAGUGGUGAAAUCUUUGGGCUUAACCCAAAAUUGCCAUUGAUACUGUUGGUCUUGAGUACAGUUGCUGUGGGCGGAAUAUGACAUGUAGUGGUGAAAUACAUAGAGAUGUCAUAGAACACCGAUUGCGAAGGCAGCUCACAAAGCUGUAACUGACACUGAGGCUCGAAAGUGCGGGGAUCAAACAGGAUUAGAUACCCUGGUAGUCCGCACUGUAAACGAUGAUUACUCGCUGCUAGAGGGCAACCUUUAGUGGCUUAGCGAAAGCGAUAAGAAUCCACCUGGGGAGUACGCCGGCAACGGUG
rnacentral:rRNA from 1 species